AGCAGCCGCGGUAAUUCCAGCUCCAAUAGCGUAUAUUAAAGUUGUUGCAGUUAAAAAGCUCGUAGUUGAAUUUCGGGAUCAGUUCGCUGGUCGUGCCUCUGGUAUGUACUGGUGUUACUGGUUCCUCCCUUCUGACGAACUGUCAUGUCAUUUAUUUGGUGUGGCGGGGAAUCAGGACUGUUACUUUGAAAAAAUUAGAGUGUUUAAAGCAGGCUCGCGCUUGAAUACAUUAGCAUGGAAUAAUGAAAUAGGACGUUCGAUCCUAUUUUGUUGGUUUCUAGGAUUGACGUAAUGAUUAAUAGGGAUAGGUUGGGGCAUUAGUAUUCAAUUGUCAGAGGUGAAAUUCUUGGAUUUAUGAAGACUAACUACUGACGAAAGCAUUU
rnacentral:rRNA from 1 species